rnacentral:rRNA from 1 species
GACGAACGCUGGCGGCGUGCUUAACACAUGCAAGUCGUGCGGUAAGGCCCUUUCGGGGGUACACGAGCGGCGAACGGGUGAGUAACACGUGUGCAACCUGCCCUGCACUUGGGGGUAACUGCCGGAAACGGUGGCUAAUACCGGCUAUGACUUCCUCACGCAUGUGGGGUGGUGGUAAGACUUCGGGUGGUGGGGGAUGGGCUCGCGGGCUAUGAGCGUGUUGGGGGGGUGAUGGCCUACGAAGGCUGCGACGGGUAGCCGGCCCGAGAGGGUGGACGGGCACAAGGGGACUGAGAGACGGCGCAGUCUGGUAUGGUAGGCAGCAGGCGGGAAUAUUGUCCAAUGGUCGAAAGCCUGUUACAGAAACGCUGCGUGUGGGAUGCCGGCCUUCGGGUUGUAAACCUCUUUAGCCUGCGACGAAGCGAGAGUGACGUUAGCAGGUAAAGAAGCACCGGCUAACUACGUG